UACAGAGGGGGCAAGCGUUGUUCGGAAUUACUGGGCGUAAAGGGCGCGUAGGCGGCUUGUUAAGUCGGACGUGAAAUCCCUCGGCUCAACCGGGGAACUGCGUCCGAUACUGGCGGGCUUGAAUUCGGGAGAGGGGUGUGGAAUUCCAGGUGUAGCGGUGAAAUGCGUAGAUAUCUGGAGGAACACCGGUGGCGAAGGCGGCAUCCUGGACCGACAUUGACGCUGAGGCGCGAAAGCCAGGGGAGCAAACGGG
rnacentral:rRNA from 1 species